rnacentral:rRNA from 1 species
UACGGAGGGGGCAAGCGUUGUUCGGAAUUACUGGGCGUAAAGGGCGCGCAGGCGGCUGCUCAAGUCAGGCGUGAAAUCCCGAGGCUUAACCUCGGAACUGCGUCUGAAACUACUCGGCUAGAGUACUGGAGAGGGUAACGGAAUUCACGGUGUAGCAGUGAAAUGCGUAGAUAUCGUGAGGAACACCAGAGGCGAAGGCGGUUACCUGGACAGUUACUGACGCUCAGGCACGAAAGCAUGGGGAGCAAAAGGG